GGGCCUAUCGUCUAAUGGAUUAGGACAAGAGUCUUCUAAACUUUAAAUGUAGGUUCAAUUCCUACUAGGCCUA
rnacentral:tRNA from 1 species